GCAGUGGGGAAUAUUGCACAAUGGGCGAAAGCCUGAUGCAGCAACGCCGCGUGAGGGAUGACGGCCUUCGGGUUGUAAACCUCUUUUAGUAGGGAAGAAGCGAAAGUGACGGUACCUGCAGAAAAAGCACCGGCUAACUACGUGCCAGCAGCCGCGGUAAUACGUAGGGUGCAAGCGUUGUCCGGAAUUAUUGGGCGUAAAGAGCUCGUAGGCGGCUUGUCGCGUCUGCUGUGAAAACCCGGAGCUCAACUCCGGGCCUGCAGUGGGUACGGGCAGGCUAGAGUGCGGUAGGGGAGAUUGGAAUUCCUGGUGUAGCGGUGGAAUGCGCAGAUAUCAGGAGGAACACCGAUGGCGAAGGCAGAUCUCUGGGCCGCUACUGACGCUGAGGAGCGAAAGCAUGGGGAGCGAACAGGAUUAGAUACCCUGGUAGUCCAUGCCGUAAACGUUGGGAACUAGAUGUAGGGCCUGUUCCACGGGUUCUGUGUCGUAGCUAACGCAUUAAGUUCCCCGCCUGGGGAGUACGGCCGCAAGGCUAAAACUCAAAGGAAUUGACGGGGGCCCGCACAAGCGGCGGAGCAUGCGGAUUAAUUCGAUGCAACGCGAAGAACCUUACCUGGGUUUGACAUAUACCGGAAACAUCUGGAGACAGGUGCCCCGCAAGGUCGGUAUACAGGUGGUGCAUGGCUGUCGUCAGCUCGUGUCGUGAGAUGUUGGGUUAAGUCCCGCAACGAGCGCAACCCUCGUCCAAUGUUGCCAGCGGAUAAUGCCGGGGACUCAUUGGAGACCGCCGGGGUCAACUCGGAGGAAGGUGGGGAUGACGUCAAGUCAUCAUGCCCCUUAUGUCCAGGGCUUCACGCAUGCUACAAUGGCCGGUACAAAGGGCUGCGAUACCGCAAGGUGGAGCGAAUCCCAAAAAGCCGGUCUCAGUUCGGAUUGGGGUCUGCAACUCGACCCCAUGAAGUCGGAGUCGCUAGUAAUCGCAGAUCAGCAACGCUGCGGUGAAUACGUUCCCGGGCCUUGUACACACCGCCCGUCAAGUCAUGAAAGUCGGUAACACCCGAAGCCGGUGGCCUAACCCUUGUGGAGGGAGCCGUCGAAGGUGGGACCGGUAAUUAGGACUAAGUCGUAACAAGGUAGCCGUACCGGAAGGUGCGGCUG
rnacentral:rRNA from 1 species